GAUGAACGCUAGCUACAGGCUUAACACAUGCAAGUCGAGGGGCAGCGCAGUGUAGCAAUACAUGGGCGGCGACCGGCGCACGGGUGCGUAACGCGUAUCCAACCUUCCCGUUACUCAGGGAUAGCCUUCCGAAAGGGAGAUUAAUACCUGAUGGUGUUCAAAUUCCGCAUGUUAUUUGAACUAAAGAUUUAUCGGUAACGGAUGAGGAUGCGUACGAUUAGCUUGUUGGCGGGGUAACGGCCCACCAAGGCUACGAUCGUUAGGGGUUCUGAGAGGAAGGUCCCCCCACACUGGAACUGAGACACGGUCCAGACUCCUACGGGAGGCAGCAGUGAGGAAUAUUGCACAAUGGAGGAAACUCUGAUGCAGCGAUGCCGCGUGAGGGAAGAAGGUUUUCGGGAUUUGGUAAACCCUCUGUCUUCAGGGACGAUAAUGACGGUACCUGAGGAGGAAGCUCCGGCUAACUACGUGCCAGCAGCCG
rnacentral:rRNA from 1 species